UCCCCUAGUAACUGCGAGUGAAGCGGGAAGAGCUCAAAUUUAAAAUCUGGCGGCUUCACCGUCCGAGUUGUAAUCUGAAGAAGCGUUUUCCGCGCCGGACCGUGUACAAGUCUCUUGGAACAGAGCUUCAUAGAGGGUGAGAGUCCCGUCCAUGACACGGACUGCCGGUGCUUUGUGAUACGCUCUCAAAGAGUCGAGUUGUUUGGGAAUGCAGCUCAAAAUGGGUGGUAAAUUCCAUCUAAAGCUAAAUAUUGGCGAGAGACCGAUAGCGAACAAGUACCGUGAGGGAAAGAUGAAAAGCACUUUGGAAAGAGAGUUAAACAGUACGUGAAAUUGUUGAAAGGGAAACGCUUGGAGUCAGUCGCGUUGUCCGGGACUCAGCCUCGCUUCUGCGUGGUGUACUUCCCGUUCUACGGGCCAACAUCGAUUUCGGACGGCGGAGAAAGGUUCGGGGAAUGUGGCACCGCUCGCGGUGUGUUAUAGCCCUGUUCCGCAUACGCCGACUGGGAUCGAGGAUCGCAGCGCGCCCUUGAGGCCGGGGCUUCGGCCCACGUCACGCGCUUAGGAUGUUGGCAUAAUGGCUUUAAGCGACCCGUCUUGAAACACGGACCAAGGAGUCUAACAUGCUCGCGAGUGUUAGGGUGGAAAACCCUUGCGCGUAAUGAAAGUGAAAGUUGGGACCCUCGUCGUGGGGGGCACCGACGCCCGGCCCUGAAGUUCUCUGACGGUGCUGCGGUGGAGCGCGUAUGUUGGGACCCGAAAGAUGGUGAACUAUGCCUGAAUAGGGCGAAGCCAGAGGAAACUCUGGUGGAGGCUCGUAGCGAUUCUGACGUGCAAAUCGAUCGUCAAAUUUGGG
rnacentral:rRNA from 1 species